UAUCUUUCGCCUUCAGCUUCUCCCCACCUGCUAUCAUCCAACCGCUUUUAUUCCCAUGAGAGCUUUAUAAAUCUCUAGCUAAAACUAGGCUUCGAGUUAUGUCAUUUUAGAACGUGCUCGUAAUGUUGUGGUGUUUUGGUUUUAUCGGAGAACUGAUGUUCUCAGCUUAGCACGAGCCUGUGAUUGUCAGUGAUGUUGGAUUGAAGCAUGCGGAAUUCUUACCUGAUAUCGUGCCUGUGUGAAUCACUGCUCUGCAAGAUAGCACCCCAGCUGUUCUCGACAAUCUGGUUUCCGUAGCACACUUUCAGAAUCGCAAUCCCCAGGGUAUUUACUCUAGUGAGUUGGACGAUUCACUCAAAUUGUCACGGGUUUGGAUGUUCAAGUUUAAGGAUAAGAUAUUACAUGUGUGACAAUAAGUAAGUUGUGUUAACUUUUCUGCUACCUGAUCGCCGGUUUUAUCAGUCGUGGGGGAAUUACGGAAGCUUCGAGCCAAAGGUAACAAUGACAAUUUAUCUAUGCUGAUUCUAACCCAUUCUAAUCAAAACCCACUAUGUAUGUAGCACGUCUAUUUUAAAACAGAGACACGUAAAAUCUAAAUCAAAAUUUAUAACAUCAUCGAUAUAUAUUUUUUUGAGUAAUAAAGCCUCACACUUUUCCUUCAACACACGCAGGCAAAUAUAUUUUGAUAUCUUAUACUUAUACUAAAUAGUGCAACUAUGUUCCUCAGAUAUGAUAGUGUGGAUAUCAAUUGCAGUUCUAGUUGUCUUGUUCAUGGUCCAAAGAUUUGGAACACACAAAAUUGGCUUCACCUUCGUACCCAUCCUUUCUAUUUGAUUUUUAUUCAUUGUGUUCGCCUGUAUAACUUCAUCAAUCACGAUACUUCUAUAAUUAAAACUCUAAAUCCGAUCCACGUCUUAUAUUAUUAUUUAAAAGAGAUAAAAAAAACUGACUUGAGUUUCCCUUGGGGGCAUUGUUCGGUGAUUGAUUCCAGAUUCCCGAUUCUAUAGCAGGAGAGAAAAUAUUGUAUUUUUAUGUUUUUUGACCAUUAAUUUUGCAAAUUGAAGGUGUUGAGGUGCUAUUUGAUGAUGUUCGACAUUAGAGUGUACUUUCAAUACAAUUAAGUCAGUGUCUAUCAUUGUUCGGGCCAUUGUACUGCAAUACAUGAGCUAAUCUUAUUACCUCCCAAAGCACAAAACGGAUGUAGGGAAUGUCUUCUACAAAGUUGUGCCUGGUAAUUUCAGUUUAAAUUGUAUCUUGCUAUAGCUUUGUAGAAGGCAUUCACUGCAUCCAUUUUGUGCUUUCGAAGGUAAGAUGAUUGGCCCAUGUAUUGUAGUACAAUGGCCGGAUAAAUGACAUAACAAGUACUUAACUGUAUCGAAAGUAGAGUAAAAUGUCCAACUACACAUCAACAAAUAGUACCUCAGCAUCUUCAUUUUUAAAAUUAAUUGUCAAAAAAUAUAAAAGAUGCAAUAUUUUCUCAUCUGCAUUGGAAUUAGGAAUCUGGAAUCAAUCACCACCUGUUAUGGAGAGAACAGUGCCUCCAAGGGAAACCCAAGCCAGUUUUUUUUCUCAUUUGAGAUAAUAUAAGAUGUAGAUAGGAUUUAGGGCUUUAAUUACAGAAGGAUCGUGCUAGAUGAAAUUAUACAGGCCAGUGAAUGCAAUGAAUAUAAACCAGAUGAUGAAAAGGAUGGAUGCAAAGGUGUAGCCAACUUUGUCGGUUCCAAAUCUUUGGACCAUGAACAAGGCAAAUAUAAUUGCAACUGAUAUCCACACCAUCAUAUCUGAGGAACAAAGUUUCAUUCGUUAGUAUAAGUAUUACAUAUUCAAAUAUAAAUGUGUGUGUCUGUUUGAAAAGUGUGUGAUUUUAUUACUCAAAAAAAAUAUAUUCAUGAUGUUAUAAAUUUUGAUUUAGAUUUUACUUGUCUCUGUUUUAAAACAACUGUGAUGUAUACAUAAUAAGCUUUGAUUAUAAUUGGUUAUAAUGAGAAUAGAUAAAUUGCUAUUGUUACCUUCGGUCAUUUGUUCGAAGCUUGAUUAAUUUCUACCACGGAUGAUAAAACUGGCGAUCAACGUGGAGCAAAAAAGUUAACACAACUUACUCACUGCCACACAUAAGUUACAGGUACAAAGGGAGGAUACCUAAGGCUAGUAUUUUCUACAAUUUUAUCGGCAAGAAUGUACACAUGGAAUGAUGUGUACUGAAGAAAGUAUUAUGAUGAGUUGGAACACAUCAUUUCUACUGAAAGGUUGAAAGAUAUUGCACCUAACACAAACGUUUGUCGAAUCCCUGGCAUUGCAAUGUUCUAUUCAGAACUGAAUAUGUUCCGUUGCAUCAUGAGAUAUGGAUAAAAUGAUAAACUGAUAUACGCAAUGAAGAGGAACCAUUUGAAUGACUUUUGGUAGAAAGAUUAAAAGCAUACGUGCAAGAAGAAUUUUUAAUCAACAAAAGUAACCAAAAUCACCUACAAAGUAAUGAGGCGGCUAAUGAUUACAUUUAUGUGCGAAUCGAGGAAGAUUAAAUAGAAAAUCAAGCAACUGAGAGAGACUUAGAGGAGGUACCACAUGACACAGAGAUGACGGAGGUAAUCGGGAAGGCAUGGUACGUUUGAGUUGUGUAUUUUGUGAAAGACAAUGAAGUGAUCGCAGGAAAAGGCAUAAGCCUUUGGAAAGAGUUCUAAUUAAAUAUGCUUAUAAUUUUCUUAAGAACAAUAUAAGACAGAGCAUUAGAGCACGUGCAAU